GUGUCUUGGACGUUCUAUUAUGGGAUUUUUGUUACAAACAUACCCGCAUACGUUUUAGUUAAAGUCUUGAAGCGCCUACAACAUGCCUUAAACGUGUCUCAAACUUAUCUGUAGCGCGUUCAACGCGCUUGUAACGUAUGUAUAACGUGAAUGUAGCGUACAGGUAUACGCUAGAGACACACUUAAGCUGGAUGAACAUUUGUAUGCUGCAUAAAAGUUUCCACGAGUUGUGUAGCGUUCACCAAGCGUAUACCUUUGUAUUUCGACGUGCUUCAAACUAAUGCAGCGCGCGUUUAACGUUUGCUUAGCUUUCCUCUGGCGUGCAACUAACGUAUACCGACUUUGUACUCUGUCUCUGUACGUUUGGUGCACGACGGUCUAUACGCCAAUGUGUGACGCCGGCAUAAAUUGUGUAUAGAAAU
rnacentral:lncRNA from 1 species